CCCUUAGAUGUUCUGGGCCGCACGCGCGCUACACUGAUGCAUUCAACGAGCCUAUCCUUGACCGACAGGUCCUGGUAAUCUUUGAAUCUGCAUCGUGACGGGGAUAGAUUAUUGCAAUUAUUAAUCUUCAACGAGGAAUGCCUAGUAGGCGCAAGUCAUCAGCUUGCGUCGAUUACGUCCCUGCCCUUUGUACACACCGCCCGUCGCUCCUACCGAUUGGGUGUGCUGGUGAAAUGUUCGGAUCGGCCGUUUGUCGCGGUUUCCGCGGCUCGUGGCUGAGAAGUUCAUUAAACCCUCCCACCUAGAGGAAGGAGAAGUCGUAACA
rnacentral:rRNA from 1 species